GACAGAGGGUGCAAACGUUGUUCGGAAUUACUGGGCGUAAAGCGUGUGUAGGCGGUGAGGUAAGUCGGAUGUGAAAUCCCACGGCUCAACCGUGGAAGUGCAUCCGAAACGGCAUCGCUUGAGUCUCGGAGAGGAAGGUGGAAUGCUUGGUGUAGAGGUGAAAUUCGUAGAUAUCAAGCAGAACACCUGCGGCGAAGGCGGCCUUCUGGACGAUGACUGACGCUGAGACACGAAAGCGUGGGGAGCAAACAGG
rnacentral:rRNA from 1 species